GAUGAACGCUGGCGGCGUGCCUAAUACAUGCAAGUCGAGCGAACGGACGAGAAGCUUGCUUCUCUGAUGUUAGCGGCGGACGGGUGAGUAACACGUGGAUAACCUACCUAUAAGACUGGGAUAACUUCGGGAAACCGGAGCUAAUACCGGAUGAUAUUUUGAACCGCAUGGUUCAAAAGUGAAAGACGGUCUUGCUGUCACUUAUAGAUGGAUCCGCGCUGCAUUAGCUAGUUGGUAAGGUAACGGCUUACCACGGCAACGAUGCAUAGCCGACCUGUGAGGGUGAUCGCCCACACUGGAGCUGGGACACGGUCCUGACUCCUACGGGAGGCAGCAGUAUGGAAUCUUCCGCAAUGGUCGAAAGCCUUACGGAGCAACGCCGCGUGAGUUAUGAAGGUCUUCGGAUCGUAAAACUCUGUUAUUAGGGAAGAACAUAUUUGUAAGUAACUGUGCACAUCUUGACGGUACCUAAUCAGAAAGCCACGGCUAACUACGUG
rnacentral:rRNA from 1 species